rnacentral:tRNA from 1 species
GGGAAGGCUCAUAGCUCAGUGGCAGAGCAGCUGCCUUGAGUGCAGAAGGUCCCAGGUUCAAUCCCCAGCCUGUCCA